AAUGGGGGAAACCCUGACGCAGGAACGCCGCGGGAGUGAUGAAGGCUUUCGGGUCGUAAAGCUCUAUCUAGAGGGAAGAAGUGAUAUUUGGUUAAUACCCAGAUUUCUUGACGGUACCUCUGAAGGAAGCACCGGCUAACUCCGUGCCAGCAGCCGCGGUAAUACGGAGGGUGCAAGCGUUGUUCGGAAUUAUUGGGCGUAAAGCGCGUGUNGGCGGAUUGUUAAGUCUGAUGGGAAAGCCCCGGGCUCAACCUGGGAAGUGCAUUGGAAACUGGGAGACUUGAGUACGGGAGAGGAGAGUGGAAUUCCUAGUGUAGGAGUGAAAUCCGUAGAUAUUAGGAGGAACACCGGUGGCGAAGGCGGCUCUCUGGACCGAUACUGACGCUGAGACGCGAAAGCGUGGGUAGCGAA
rnacentral:rRNA from 1 species